rnacentral:rRNA from 1 species
GACGAACGCUGGCGGCGUGCUUAACACAUGCAAGUCGAACGGAAAGGCCCUGCGUUUGUGGGGUGCUCGAGGGGCGAACGGGGGAGUAACACGUGAGUAACCUGCCCUUGACUUUGGGAUAACUUCAGGAAACUGGGGCUAAUACCGGAUAGGAGCUCCUGCUGCAUGGUGGGGGUUGGAAAGUUUCGGCGGUUGUGGAUGGACUCGCGGCUGAUCAGCUUGUUGGUGGGGUAGUGGCUUACCAAGGCUUUGACGGGUAGCCGGCCUGAGAGGGUGACCGGCCACAUUGGGACUGCGAUACGGCCCAGACUCCUACGGGAGGCAGCAGUGGGGAAUAUUGCACAAUGGGCCGAAGCCUGAUGCAGCAACGCCGCGUGCGGGAUGACGGCCUUCGGGUUGUAAACCGCUUUCGCCUGUGACGAAGCGUGAGUGACGGUAAUGGGUAAAGAAGCACCGGCUAACUACGUG